rnacentral:misc_RNA from 1 species
GAUGAAGAACGCAGCGAAAUGCGAUACUUGGUGUGAAUUGCAGAAUCCCGUGAACCAUCGAGUCUUCGAACGCAAGUUGCGCCCGAAGCCAUUAGGCCGAGGGCACGCCUGCCUGGGCGUCACACGUCGUUGCCCCCCCAUCUACUCCUUCGGGAUUGCGGGGGGCGGAUGAUGGCCUCCCGUGCGCCUCGUCGCGCGGUUGGCAUAAAUGCCAAGUCCUCGGCGACGCACGCCACGACAAUCGGUGGUUGCGAAACCUCGGUUGCCCGUCGUGUGCGGUCGUCGCGCAUCGAGGGCUCGAAAAAAUUGCCGGGCUCCGGCUCGGCUUUCAACGCGACCCCAGGUCAGGCGGGGUUACCCGCUGAAUUUAAGCAUAUCAAUAAGCGGAGGA